ACGUGGCUGAAUACUAUGUUUUUUUUUCAAUGUUUCACACAGCCAGACACCAUGCAAAAAGAAAAUUUUCCUUUGAGAUUAUUUUUAUAGUAUUUUAGGGGUUUUAUGGCAUAUCAUUAUUAAAAGUGACUCUAAAU